GGGGUGGAGGACGGGACGGCUCCGGGUGCGACGGGGCGGCCGUCACCGCGGGGCUCCGCGGGUCUGAGGGCGUCCGCUGCGGCCUGCGCUGGAGCACGGUGAAAAAGGGCCCUUCGAAAGGCCGCAGUUCGGCCGUGCGGCUGGCUUCUCCCGAGAAGAGACCAGACAGACGCUGUGGCAGAGGACUCUCAGCGGCCAGCGAGUGCAAGCAGGGCUGCAGUGGAAGAAGAAAGGCCGAGUCUGGAAAGGCCAGCCGGUUUCCUGCAGUAGCUCACAGUAUGUGAGGCUGUUCUUUCUCCUAAUGGCCAGAAGGCUUGGAGCUGACAGAGGGAGAAAAGCAAGCAGAAGAAAAGAGAACAACCCUGCUGCAAACGACUUCGGUGGCACGGUCGAAUGCUGCUUUGCUUAUUUGCAAGUGGUCCCACUUGAUAGUGGAAGACAAACACGAACAAAGAAAAGAAAAACACCCAAGAAGCAACAAGAAAAGACACAAAGAACUGCCUCCUUGCUAACAGCUAUCAAUGUGAAUAACCCUGCAACCCCAAUUCUUCAUGUUUCAGUGUUGAAUUUUCUUACACACUUAUAACAGACUCCUAUUUUGCCAGACUCACAUUAUUAGUCUUUCCACUCUACAGACUGCAUAGCAGGCGUGUAGGUGUAGUUUUAGCAGACGUUGGCUCUGCAGUUAAACACAGUCAGCAGCUCAUCUCCACCCUCAGUUGAAUGGAGUGGACGCAUCUGGGGCACAAACUUGAGAGAUGCCAAAACACAAACGCCUGUGUGAGGCCUUCAAGAGAACAGUAACCUAGGAGAAGUAGAACAGAGGGUUGUGUAGACUGAAUAUUAUCAGUAAAGAGAUGAUAGUGUCCUCAAUCUGAUGUAUCACGUCCUCCGAUAGGCAUACACUUUUAAUUCAAAGAGUAUGACCUGCAGGAAUGGGCAUAAUCCAGAAUUCACGGUGGUAAAUAUCUGUUGUGUUCAUACAAGUGAUUCUGCCGUAGCAACCAGGUUUGGAGUUUCAGGGAAAUAACACUGGCAUUUGUACAACACCCUGCAGUGAGCUCCUCUUGGAAAGAUGCUUUUGCAACACCCCCGUUCACUUGGUUCGAAUGACAUCUGCCAAUACAGAUGUUAGUCGUACGAGGAAUUAUGGUAAACCUUCAAUCUUCACAGUUAUAGAACAUUUUGGGCUGGAGAGGACCUUGGAAAUCAUCAAGUUCCAACUCCUGGCCAUGGGCAGGGACGCUGCCCACUGGACAACCUGGCUUUGAACCCCUUGCAAUGGAUGGAGCACCCACUUUUCUCCUACUGGGGAGAAAAGAAACUGGAUCCUGAAUUCAACUGCAACCUAAUUCUGAUAUAAGCGAAACAAACAUGUCCUAAAAAAGCUGGGAGACACAAUGAAAAAAAAAAAAAAGAUCAUAAAUGUAUGCUUUAUCCAUUUUGAGAUUCGCGUGUCUGAUUUAAGUCCAACUCCAGCAGUACCCACCUUCACUCUCACUGGGUUAAGUUUAACGUUGAGCUGCUGGUCAGUCCUCACGAGCAUCCUGCAAGCCAAACACUUAGUAGUGUUCUGCCUAGUACAGUUUCUUCACCACAAACUUACUGCAUACUUGAGCUUUUGAAGGUGCUUAGUUCCUGCAAUGCAUUUUCUAUUCAAGAAAACGUCAGCCUUUACAACUAUCUUAUGCUGAAAUUUAUGUGGUCCAGCAGGACCACACAAGUAAUUUUAGUCCUUCAGAAACUUUGUAUGAGAUUGUACGUGUCUUUUGAGUAUGAGUAUCAAUGCAGUGGUAACUUCAGGUGAAAAGAAUGAAAAAGUGAAUCAGAAUUAGAAAAGAGUUUAACACAAAUAAUGACCUGUGGGUCCUUAUUACCAUCUUCAGUAUCCUCAGUGUUGUUUCAGCCUUUGAUGCGACCUCAGAUGGUUAUAAAUGCUACUUCUAAGAAACAGCAAACAGACACAAAGACAGAGCUUAAUGCUUCACAAUGAAUAUCCCCUUUAUUACUGUGAUCACAAAAACAUGAUUUUUACAGGAAUGUUUAAGUGAACGUUACUCGAAGCAAUUAAAUUGUUUCACAAAGGUCAGGUAAACGAACUACAGAACACUGUAUCAUAAAGAACAAAAAUACCAGCUUUCUGGCCUUGCAGUGCACAUUUUAGUGCAAGUAUUAAGACACAAUAGUGUUCAAUUCAGCAAUGUAUUGCAGAACAUCAUGCCACAGUCCACUUCAACGAGGGUCAGGACGUGCAGCUUGUUAAUAAAAUGCUGUAGUAUAUAAAAAAAGCCACAUGUUAAUUCAUAAAAUAUAUAGUGGUUUAUUUCGAUGAUUUAAAGUGAUUUCACUGUGGAAUUUAAUUUUAUCCAGGAGAAACAUACAAGAGUGUCUUCUCAUUUGGAAUACUCUUCUUUUAGGCAAUGGCUUUGGCUUCAGGUAGGAAUGCCUCCCAGUAUUUUAUUAGCUUAAAGAAAAAAAAGAAGAAGAAUCACUACAGAACUGAAUGCUGGGAAACAAAUAGACCUUCCUCCUCAUGUUAAACUUGUCUCCUCUGGAUGAACUAAGAACACAGAUGCUGAAUAUUAUCCACUCACAUUAUUACAUGAUGCAAAAAAAGACAAGGUUAAUAAAUAAGUCUGGUUAACAGUAAUUUUUACACACUGAGCACAGUACCACAGAAUACACUUACAGAGAAUGGGUUUGCAAGGUUAAUUUGCUACUCUUACCUCUAAUGUGCAUCACGUUUUUGUUGCUGUUGUUCUCAAUUAAAAAAGGCUGAAAUGUUAUAGCGCUGGAGUGAAAGCAGAAAGACUCCGAAUACUCUUUAGGGAAUAAAGUCUAUUUCUGAGUCACUGAAAACUACUGCUUUACAAUAUUCAGUAAUAUAUUAAACUUUUUAAAAGAGCAGUAAGCAUUUAAGUACUCCAGUCUUUUCAGCAGGUCUAAGUACAUAUUUAGCAGAACUUGCUCCAGUUUUAAAGAGCAAGCAUUAUUUGAGUUGCAGAAGAACAGACGACCCUCCCCACACCCUCUUCCCCUAACAGGAACUUUUCCCUUGCUUCUCCCAGAUAAGAGCUGUGCAAGGAAGCACAGUAAGCACAGUAAUAGCUGGAAAACUGCAGUCACUGUUUUCUCCAGUACAGCACUAUUGGAAGUAGUUCAAAGAUUGUCCUUGCAAUUAACCUGGUACGUAACACCGUAAAUAUUAACGUGUAUGAGACUUAAAACGUUUCUUACCUGCUGUUGUGUUUGCACUAAUGACUCUAAGUACUUGAUAAUAACAGUUUUAAAGUCUUUCACUCGUUCCUUCUGUUAAUAAAUAAAUUAUGGCACAUUAACCUCUUGACCAAUUUCACUUUGAAUGUCAAUAUUAUCUAAAAUAAAACUAUCGUUUACUUAGACAAAAUUAUACAUGCCUCAAAUCUUCCCACUUCCUUGCGAAUCGUUUUGGAGAUCUGUUCAAAAUCUUUUUCCCCUUGCUGAACUUUUGACUCCCACUGGCAAAGGAAAGACAUGCAGAGAUGAGACUUUGUGUUUCCCACUCAGUUAAUCAGUAUGUGAACUUUCUAGUAUUUUAACAACAUUAAUUCAGGAAAUGAAAAGGACCUAUUCAUCCUUUGGACAAAUAACAACUUCCAAAUAACAAUCUGCAGAAUACGAUGACAUCAGAUUAAACAAUGGUAUCUCUAACACAAUGAUAUUUGUAGAUGACAAGAACAACUCAGUAUUGUUACUAAUAAGAGCUUAGUAAAGUCUUUUAGAGAUUCUUUAGCAAAGGAAAAGGAUCUCUACGGUUUUAUUAGACGUUACUUUGCAGGUACUGUUAUAACAGGAACCUAAAUCUGUAAGCUUUCUGUGACUGCCUAUCCCACUGGAUGUAGAAGAGUCUCAGAAGUCAGUUUCCUCUACUUUCCUAGUCCCAGAAUAAAUGUUUAAAUCUUUCUCUCUGGCCAUGGUUGUACAUAUGCUUAUCUCUCUGUUAGAAGUGGCAAGCUCGCAGUGCUAUGUUUUUUGGACUUCCAAAAGUUAGAAUGCAUGUUGCCUGGGACAAUCAAAACACACGGUCUCAUUUUCAGAGGUGGCUGAAGAGACAGGAAGAGUCAACAAGCUACUGUGGGUAAGAACACUAAAGAAAAACUAAGAGAAAAUGGUGUUACAGCUUGGGGUUUUUUGUCGUAAUGGGAGUGUGGCAUUUGCACAAGAGUACUACGUGACAGUAGUUUCUAUUCAUCCUUAGCUUAUACCAAAAGAUAUCUAACUACACAGUAAGAUCAUAGAAUCAUAGAAUCAUUACUAUUAUCAUCAAACAUUAUCUUGUAACUAGUAGGCUUCCUUUUGCAUCUACUUUAACACACCUAUUUAUACUGUUAAUUUAUAGCUUCCGCACAGAUACUCUUUGAAAAAAGUUAUCUGCUGCCUGACAUUGCAGACACAGUUAAGUGGUAUUUCAAAUGCCAACUUACAAACUGAAAGGUAGAAGCUAACAUAUCCCAGUAACAGUUAUCUUCUUCAGAAAAAAGGCAGCCAGGAGGCAACACACUGUUGUCAGCAUAUCUACAAAAUCUUCUAGUGCUGCAUUAUCAAUUAGUAAUUUAUUGUGGUGUUAUGAGAUGAACCUCUAACCAAUAAGUAUCUGGACAUUUAUAUUUUUGGUUUACAUUUAUUCAGAAACCCCUCAUGUUCAGAUACACGUUUAUGAGGCCACAUGUUAUGUCAUAACUGGAUUUGCUUCUGGGAAACACAACAUGAGCAGUUAUCUAAUAACUAAAACAAUACAAAGCUUGGACAAGGAAAGGGUAGACAGACUGUCUGUUUUGAUCUAGCACUGCAACUAGAGCUGUGGGACACUUCAAUGUCUGACUCUGUAUGGACUCCUACCCUGGUUUUGCCACGUCCAGGUACCAUGCUUAACAAAAAAUAUCACUGAAUGAUGAUCUGUCAUGUUAUAGUUUCUGACAAUGAGGAAUUUCCCCUUUUCAAUACUGGCAUUUUUAGAACUAUUCUUUUAUUAUUAUUUUCCUGCAAAAAACAAUUGAGUUGAUGACGUCCAAGCUGUGUAGUUUUCCACUUUGCAAUGUCUGCCAGAAGAACUAUUACUACAGAAUCAGCAACUUUGAAUCUAUUUCAAUGGUAGCCAUCUUUCCAUUCCCAUAUUCAAAUUGAGGGUUUACUAACAACCUUCUUUACUCAUAAACUAAAUAGGAAAAGUACCUCCUUCAGGAAUAACACCAUUAAUUCUUUUCAUGUUGGGACUAAGAAAGCAUCACUGGCUAUUUCUUACUACACUCAAUAUUCAACAGAAUUUUGGCCAAGGAAUGACAUCACUUGUACUGUGAACAGAUGAAUGACAUCAACCAGUACCGACCAGAAAGAAUGUGGUCACAUAAGACUCACACUAAGUUUUCCCAGUAAACAAGGGCUUUUUUUAAAGAAAAAGAAAGCCAAGUUAAUGAGAAACUUCAACGCCAUGUGCAAAAGACACUGAAAUGUAGAAAGAACAAAGCAGCUUGUGAUUAGUGACCAAUGAGGAAGCCAAACAAAAUAACUGCAUAAAGGGGUUUGAAAUCUAAUGUUCUCCCAUUAUUUAAUGAGAGAAUACUGGUGCAUAAUCAGAAUGCAUAAUGUUAAAUAAUUAAGUUGUCCUACCUCUUCAAUUUCCUUAGUGAAGCAUGACAGAAAAAGUGUAUAAAUUAUGACACUUCAACAUGUAAGACUUAUUUUUACUGAAAUCACACCAUAUAUACAUACAUAUAUAUAUAUGGGUAGAUAUACGCUGCACAAUAAAGCAAAACAUGGGAACAGUUCUCCAUUAGUUUUUUGUGUUGUAUUUGCUUUUUUUUGGUUAAAUUUUAGCAUCUUAGUGAAGAUGCUCCUGUGUCUAUUCGAGUCAUUUGUUAAAACUUAAACACAAUUCAACUUGUCCUUUUUCCCCUCCUCCCAUUUCCCAGACUCUGUGGAGACAGUCUUCAACUGCCUUCCAGAUCUUACAAUGUGUAGAAAUUGUGCACAUUUUUAAAAUAGAUUUCAACAAUUUCAGUAAAUACGGCAGACAGCAAAUGAGUAAGCAGUUCUUAAAUAAAAAUGGUAUAAAGUAGUGCAUUGAUGCAGAAUGAAUGAGUCAAAGCAGAAAGUCCGGAUCUCCAAAAUAAUGUUUGAUAACAUUACCUCUUUUAUCUCAUCUUUAGCUUGCUGCAACUUGUCAGGUUUGUUAGCAAGCUGGAGCUUUGCUUCAGCUUCACGUUUUUUUUGUAAAGUAACCUGAGCAUCUUGCCACUUCUGCCAGCAUUUCAUUCGGUGAUCAAACACACCCUGUGGGAAUGAAGAAAUUUAUUAAGCAGCUGGAAUUGUUGGAGCUAUUUAAACUUCUUGUAGGAAAAGGUAUUUCUGAAUAAAACUAGAACAAUUAUACUCAAA